UACGUAGGGGGGCAAGCGUUGUCCGGAAUCAUUGGGCGUAAAGAGCGUGUAGGCGGCCCGAUAAGUCCGCCGUGAAAGUCCAGGGCUCAACCCUGGGAUGCCGGUGGAAACUGUCGGGCUAGAGUCCGGAAGAGGCGAGUGGAAUUCCUGGUGUAGCGGUGAAAUGCGCAGAUAUCAGGAGGAACACCAAUGGCGAAGGCAGCUCGCUGGGACGGUACUGACGCUGAGACGCGAAAAGCGUGGGGAGCAAACAGG
rnacentral:rRNA from 1 species